rnacentral:rRNA from 1 species
UACGUAGGUGGCAAGCGUUGUCCGGAAUUAUUGGGCGUAAAGCGCGCGCAGGCGGCCUUUUAAGUCUGAUGUGAAAGCCCACGGCUCAACCGUGGAAGGUCAUUGGAAACUGAAAGGCUUGAGUACAGAAGAGGAAAACGGAAUUCCACGUGUAGCGGUGAAAUGCGUAGAGAUGUGGAGGAACACCAGUGGCGAAGGCGGCUUUCUGGGACGUAACUGACGCUAAGGCGCGAAAGCGUGGGGAGCGAACAGG